ACGGGGGAAAGUGCAAGAGGCGACACUGGCACGCGUCCCCCCGGCACCACCAGAAAGACGCUUCUGGCCCGGACAGCACCAACAGCUUUGUUUCGUGUCUGUAGUCCUAAGUCCCUUUCACAUACUUUUUCACAGAGGAAUUUUUCCAGCUUGCCUGCCGCCACAAACACCAUCGCCUACCGCGAGAAAAGCCCCUGCGCAAGUCUCCGAGUGACAAUACCACUGGACCCCGGCUCAGAAGCAGUCGAGAGGGGAAGAGUUCACAGCCCCCUCCCGACAACCUGCACCCCCACAAAACCGCUCCAGGGCCGUGGAAGAGCACGGUCAGACCUCCCUGAGCCCUCUCCGGACUGAUCAGGCCCCAUUUCCUCGGCUUAGUUCUCUAUUACGAUACCUAUGCUGAGCAGAAUGGCUUGUCCAAGUGAUUUUAACUCUGGCUUCAUAAGGCAUAGAAGCAGAUGAAAAACAACUACACCUUAAGGAGACAUGCUAGAAGGCCUUUUGCACUGGAAAAGAAAUAGCAAAAUUUUCAGGUUGUAAUACUUAGACUGCAAAAUAUACCUCUUUCACAUACAAACCACACCAUGUGUAAAGCUAGUCCACUGUUUCCUAAACAAUGAGGCUUCAGAGAUGACUGUACCAUCAACAAAAAUAAAUCCUAAUCUUCAUUCCAGAAAGAAAACAAAGUUGUUAUUGCAGAUAAAUUUAAUUUUAGAAUUUAAAAAUGUAAACAACCAAAUAAUGCCAUCAUGUUCUACUUGAACAAAACAGAACUGCUGACCUUCUUGAGAAGAAGGACACAUCUUGCAUAAGUGUUUCCAAGUUUGGGUGUGUUUCUGUCUAUGUUAUUUUUAUUACUAGGUUAAAUCUGACAGUGUACUCAGUAAUCAUUAUGGAGUUGGCUUAAGCUGUUCUGAAGUGUUACCAGCUUCAGUAAGACUUGGGUUUGGUUUUUGGUGUUAUAUUUUUUUGGUUUGGGUUGUUUUUGUUUGGUUGUUUUUUUUUUUUUUUCCUUCUGUAUCUCAUUCAAGCAACUCUGGGCAUACAUUUGAACUUAGCAAAAUUUUGCUCCAAAAUCCUCAAAUAGAACAAGGACAAUUUUUAGGCCAUAAUUAAAGUUACAUUUUCAUUUUUACAUCCCAACAGCAAAA